rnacentral:lncRNA from 1 species
GAGAUCACUAGAAGAAUGAAAUCAGUAGCCAGAACCCUGAGAAAGAAGAUGCAGCUUGCAGCAACCAUGUGAUGAACGCCAGGACGACCGAAAGCGCGAACUGCCGGCAGGCCAGCCGCGAAUAUGCGUUGCAUAAGUUCACAUCCCACAUGAAUAAAAUUGUCAGGCUCGCGGAGGCACAGGAUCCGGAGAACAUGAAAAUCGCCACGACCUGCAAUGCAUUCACAAUUGAUGUGUUCACUCAUAUUGACCUUUGCUAGCUCAAGAUUCCAAGAACUGCUCGAGUAGAAAAAUGAUUUCACUGGGUUUUUUUUUUUUGCAGGGUAAGAUAUUUGGACUGUGCUUGUGAGAUGUAACAACUUUUGGCUGACAGAAAUGACAGCCAUUAGUUCUACUUCUAACAGGGAAAAAGAACCUUCGAUAAACUAUACCGUUGGUUAACCAAUAAGUCAUGCAAAGCAUAUUUGUUAUUAAUUCUUGCUCAAAUGGAUGAUUCGUUGGCAAAGUUCGAUGGAGCAAGAACAAGAACUUGAACUUGGCCAAUAGAGAAGCAUGAGUUGCACACUUGCAUUAUCCUGAAUUUAUUUUUUUCUUAAGAACUAAAAAAAAAUAAGAACAGCCUGGUGCACGUAGAAGUCUCACAAUGCAACAGCUGUACCGCUAAAAAAUCUGGGUUUAAUUGCUUCAGUGCAUGCCUUCAGUUAAUUCAGACGUAGCUCAUGGACAAUAGAAGAUACAGAGCGAACGACUUACCCAGUCAACUAUAACAAUGAACAAUAGAUUAUCCCGGGUGUGAAGAUCCUUUUUAUUCCUUAGAGCAAAGAUAUCCUUAUAAGCAAGGCGCAAACUCCACAUAAGCUGCAGGAUCAACGCUGCAAUCAAGUAGCUGAAAUAAAGGGAGACCAGAAUACACUCAUUAGAUGAUUGAUGUCCAAUAUUCAGUUCCAUUUUUGAACAAAUAAGGAGUUGUUCACAGAAAACAUUAAUAGAGGACAACAAAGGAUAACAGAACACUCCAGUUUUUGUUAUGAAAAAGAACACCCAAGUUUAAGUAAACUCCCCAGAUUCUUGACAAUUGAACAUAAAUAUGUACGAUGCCAAGUUUGUAGUCCUCGUGCAAAUAAGCAUGAACUCUGUGAUGGAACGAAAUCCACUGCAUAAACCAUCUUAGAACUCCAAUAAGGAAGUCGUGUAAUGAAGUCUCAUAUCCUUCCUUCUCCUCUUCCUCUGGCACCUUUGGAACCGGAGGGACGCUGUUGUCUUCAGAGAUGCCUCCCCCUCCUUGGAAGCUACCCUCAAGUGCUGCAGGGACGACGUGGUGCUUUGGAGGGGCAGAUUUCGCGAGGAAGAUCGAGGGCAUGUUGAUGUUUGGCUCCAGGCUCCUGUUAAACCGCAUGGCUGAUCGCGGUGACCUNNNNNNNNNNNNNNNNNNNNNNNNNNNNNNNNNNNNNNNNNNNNNNNNNNNNNNNNNNNNNNNNNNNNNNNNNNNNNNNNNNNNNNNNNNNNNNNNNNNNNNNNNNNNNNNNNNNNNNNNNNNNNNNNNNNNNNNNNNNNNNNNNNNNNNNNNNNNNNNNNNNNNNNNNNNNNNNNNNNNNNNNNNNNNNNNNNNNNNNNNNNNNNNNNNNNNNNNNNNNNNNNNNNNNNNNNNNNNNNNNNNNNNNNNNNNNNNNNNNNNNNNNNNNNNNNNNNNNNNNNNNNNNNNNNNNNNNNNNNNNNNNNNNNNNNNNNNNNNNNNNNNNNNNNNNNNNNNNNNNNNNNNNNNNNNNNNNNNNNNNNNNNNNNNNNNNNNNNNNNNNNNNNNNNNNNNNNNNNNNNNNNNNNNNNNNNNNNNNNNNNNNNNNNNNNNNNNNNNNNNNNNNNNNNNNNNNNNNNNNNNNNNNNNNNNNNNNNNNNNNNNNNNNNNNNNNNNNNNNNNNNNNNNNNNNNNNNNNNNNNNNNNNNNNNNNNNNNNNNNNNNNNNNNNNNNNNNNNNNNNNNNNNNNNNNNNNNNNNNNNNNNNNNNNNNNNNNNNNNNNNNNNNNNNNNCCAUAAACUCUUGUUGUUGUGCCAUAUUCUUUCUUCUGCUCCGGUGAGGCCAUAAAUUUACUAUGUACUAGUUGGUGGGUGACAGGACAAGUACCAGUUAAUAAUUUUGAGAGCAUUGAAGGUAGUCAUGGAGAUAUUUAUCAAAUGAGAGCAUUGAAGUUUUAAGCCUAGAAACUUUUGGGGCGAGCUCAGCUUGCAAGCCUCUAUCUUAUUCCUACCCAACCCAAGACCAAGGCCUUGAAAGACCCGAACUGAAACAUAGUAGUUAAUGCUCGAUCGGCAGUGCUAAGACACUGGAAAGAAUCGAACUGAGCCGUAGGGGAGGGAUGCCAUCUCAAGGGCUCCGACCAAAGUAACGUGGCCUUGUCCUCCAAACCCAGAUCAAACACAACAGAGGGAGGACACUCACAUAGCUUGCUACGAGUGAUGCUCAUGGAUUUGCAAGAAAACACACGAAUGGGGAGGGCAUUCUACAGUAAAAAAAGAAGCAGCAUUUGCGGGGGGAUGAAAUUAGUAGUAGGGGGAGGGAGGGGAGGGAGUACAAGAAGGCGCUGUAGUUGGAGUAGCCGAAGCCCGAGACCAUGGCGAAGGUGGAGGCGGCGGCGAAGACGCACUGCGACAGCCGUAGCGCCAUGCCGCUCCAUGUCCCCGGGCUCCCCGCCACGCGCUUCAUCCCCUGCCUGCCUGCCUCUGCUCUGCUUGCUGCAGAGAGGUGAGGCGGAGACGCCGAUGGAGCCCUUCCUGGCGUGGAUCUGUGGCAGUUGCUGUGUGCGCUUAGCUCGUGUGGGGAGGGAUGGGAAAGGUGAUGGCUAUGAUGAGCAGGAGGUGGCCAUAGCACUUGUUAUGUGCGCAGUGCGCUUGGCUUGGGGUAGACCAGAUGGGAAAGGUGAUGGAAGAGCAGGGUACCUCUGCCUGGUGGUUUUCGAGAUACAAAUGGAACGCAAGUAAUAACUCAAUUGAACUGAGUACCCACGUCGUACGUACAUUGGUUUGUCACCUUUACUCCUCGUUCCAACAUAUCCCUUUGUUAGUCCUCUUAUUAUUAUCUUGCCCGCAAAAAGAAAAAAGAUCCGUCUGCAUACAGUCGGCCGUGUGAGCCGGACAUGUUAGUGUCAUCCAACAUGAUUAUGUAUCAGUCAACCGGGUGGUCCGGACGCAUUCCCCCACCCCCACAAGUCAGAGAUAAAUUGGANNNNNNNNNNNNNNNNNNNNNNNNNNNNNNNNNNNNNNNNNNNNNNNNNNNNNNNNNNNNNNNNNNNNNNNNNNNNNNNNNNNNNNNNNNNNNNNNNNNNNNNNNNNNNNNNNNNNNNNNNNNNNNNNNNNNNNNNNNNNNNNNNNNNNNNNNNNNNNNNNNNNNNNNNNNNNNNNNNNNNNNNNNNNNNNNNNNNNNNNNNNNNNNNNNNNNNNNNNNNNNNNNNNNNNNNNNNNNNNNNNNNNNNNNNNNNNNNNNNNNNNNNNNNNNNNNNNNNNNNNNNNNNNNNNNNNNNNNNNNNNNNNNNNNNNNNNNNNGUGUGCGUUCCCACCCCGGGUCAACCGCCCGCAUUCACGUCGUUGUAGAGCGGCCGCUUCACAAUGACUUUCCGUGCCGGUCUUCAUCACACUGUCCGGUUCUUCCUCGCCUAUUUCGAGUAUCGUCGCCGCGCUCCUAACCGGUGGUCGCCGCUCUUCCUCGGGGCCACUGCUGCUCGCUCACACGAGUUGCGCCGUCCAUCCACCCCCUUCAUCUUCGUCCAGCACCAGCCCGUCGCCAACGUCGUCGUCAUCUUUCCCGACCACUUCGUCUACUCCGACCACCAUUAGUGACAUCGGCCCCACGCCGAUUGGCACCACAUCCGUCGUCGAGUCUCCUUGGCCCCUCCGACUCCUCGACAUGGCAUUCAGCUCAUGCAGGUCCCUAAUCUACGCAUGCCCGGUGCUGGCAAAACCGAUGUGUGCCUUCAUCCACGACGUGUCCAUGGGCCUGACAAGCCUGGUGCGGCGCUUCGUCAACUUCAUCUUCGUCCAUCUAUGCAUGCCCAGUGCUGGCUACACUGAUGCUGCCUUCGUCCACGAUGUGUCCCCGGACUUGGCAAACCCGGCGCGACAUGUCGUCAACAACGUCUUCUUCCAGGCGCACCACUACUUCGGCACCACUGCGCCCAUGACUAACUCAGUGCCUCAUUGAACCCACGGCUCCACGGCGACUACCUCAACACCGGCCACCCCGACUCAACAUCGACCACGCCGUUCUUCGCACGGCUACACCACCCCUACGCUCUCGGCUACCUCGACAAUGGCACAAAGGGCUACCAUCUUGCUUGAGCAACCUCGUCGGUUUCCACUCUAGCCACAACUUCAGCGAUGCAUCAACCAUUACGACCGUGGGGGGAUGUUCGUCGGCUUACCUUCGGAUUCUCUCCAGUCUCGCCGUCUGCGUCGUUAUCAUUGUGACUGCGGGGUGAUGUUGAGUAUAUUGAUUAUUAUGAAGUAUAGGAUAGACUAGAAUUUGUUCCUGCCUUGUCUUCUAGUCCAAGAUGGUCAUUGUACUCCUAUAUAUAUGCUCACAGGGCUCAAGCAAUAAAUAUCAAUUCCACCAAUCCCUCUCUAUCCCUUCUAACAUGUAGGUCAUUCAACUUACAAGUUUUUUUAUCGACUUUUGAUCAGUUCUGCUUCUGUGCAACUCUAAACACAUCAAGAUCUCUUCAUAUCACUUCAUAAUAAAUGAUAGGAUGGUCAUUUUAAAAGUAUGUCGUCCGCGUCGAUAUGCAGUACCCCCACACACACCCUUUGCACUGUUGUAGCCUUAGUACAACCGCGGUAACCAACUAGACUACCUUCUUGUUGUGCCUAGUUACCUUCUUUUUGCUUCUUCAAGUAGUAUAGCACUAACCAAUGGGAGCAUGUAUGGUUUCUUUUUUUGGGUUUUGGUUUGUCCGGUUUCUUCUGUCUUUUUUUCUUUUUUCUCUCUUUUUUCUUUUCUCAGUUUACUUUAUUCAUUUUUUAAAUUCAUGAACUAUUUUUAAAUCAUGGAUUUUUCUAAAUCCGUGAACUUUUUAAAUUCAUAAACAUUUCUUAAAUUCACAAAGUUUGUUUUAAAUACAGGAAUUUUCUUUUCAAAUCCAUGAACACUUUUCAAAUUUUAUGAGUUAUUUUUCAAAGCAUGCGAAUUUUGUUUAGAGUCGUUAAUUUAAAAAAAAUUGAUGAACUUUUUCCAAAUACGCGAAUGCUUGGGCCGGCCAAACAAGCGUAUGAUGGGAGCGACGCCAUUGACUAGUUGGGCCAACACCUAAGCCUUUUUUUUCUUCUUCAAUUUUUUUCUUUUUCUUUUUUAUAAUUCCAAUUUCUCCUUUUUGAACUUUUUUCCUGAAACCUGAUAAAAAUAUGAAAUAUUGUUUGGAACACAAAAAACUAUUAUCUUUUUCAAAUAUUUUUUACAAUUUUAAAAAAUGUUUUGGAAUUUAUAAAAAUGCUCUUGUUUUCAGAUUUUUAUUCACAAAUUUAGGAAAUAUUUGUGUUUCAAAAAAGUUGAUAAAUUUCUUUAAAAAGUACGUGUUUUGUAAUUUGUGUUCAACAUCAAUUGUUGGGAACUUGAUAACAUUUGCUGGACCAAGUAGUAAUUUAUAUUGUCACCAACAUGCCCUUUUUAGACUGGGGAUGAACUGCAUGCAUGAAAGAGCUGUUGGAUUUUUGCAAUAUGCUUUCAAAUAAAUCUAGUACGCCUUUAUCAGUUUAAGAUUGUGCAGGCCUUGAAUACCUUUAUGCUUGGAAUUAUAUUAAUCGACAAAGUUGCUAUGCUAUUUUUAAUGGAUGCUUUUGCAAACUAUGACCUAAACCUUUCUGUCAAUGAAUAUAUAUUGUUUCCCUCCGAAUUUAUGAACCAGCACUAGUAGGAAAAGGGGCUUUUACCCCGGUUCAUAAGGGCCUUUAGUCCCGGUUCUGGAACCGGGACUACAGGGUCGUUACUAAUGCCCUAGCCCUUUAGUCCCGGUUCUUACACGAACCGGGACUAAAGGCCGUCCACGUGGCCGGUGCGGGGAGCCCAGGCAGGAGGGCCUUUGGUCCCGGUUGGUGCCACCAACCGGGACCAAUAGGCAGGGCCUUUUGUCUCGGUUGGUGUCACCAACCGGGACCAAUAGGCAUCCACGCGUCAGCAGCUGGCAGGAGCUGAGGUUUUUGUUUUUUUUUUGAAAGGGGGUGGUUUAGGGGUUUUGGGGGGUUAAUUUAGGUGUUUCAUAUAUUGUGUUAGCUAGCUAAUUAAUAGAGAGAAGUGUCCUCUCUUAUCUCCGUGCUCAGUCGACGCUACGUACUAUAUACGUAUGGAGAGGAGUAGACACGCUAGCUAGUAAUCAAAUGAAGGAAACAGAAGAUCGUCAUGAACAUAUGCAUACAGAGAGAAGUGAUAUCGACCACCUCUCCUUCUCCGAGAUAUUGGUCGAACAACAAGUUCUCGUAUAUCUAUCCGACACUACCGGCUACAUAUAUACAAUAAUUAUCUCUUACAAUACAAUCUCCUAAUUAUAUUGUAGGAACACAGGGUCCACAUAGUAUUCUCCGUUUUCAGCGAUCACGUGGUCAAGGAAGAAUGCCGCCAAUUCCUCUUGAAUUCCUCGCAUACGAUCUUCUGCUAGGAGUUCAUCCCGCUUCCGAAACAUCUAAUUUGAAGAAGGGGGUCAAUACAUAUAUAUAUGAAUAAAUGAAACUCAACACAAAUGAUGGUAAUAAAAUAAAAUUGUGAAUAUUAUUGCUUACGCACUUCAUAUUGUUCUUCAGUGUAGCCCCGCUCACAGGUAUGGUAGCGGAUGGACUCGCAAACGUAGUAUCCACAGUAAUUAUUCCCGGGUUCCUGCCACAACCACUUUACAAGAAAUAGAGGUCAAUCAAACUGAUAAGCAAGCAUGCUAAAUGGUAUUGAUGAAACUAGCGCUUGAAUCACUAGGAGAUGCGCGGAACAUGCUACUAUAGUACUUACUUUCGGGUGAUUAAAUUGCAGCUUCUUCGGCAGUCCCGGAGCUUUUGAGGUGAAUUUUCUCCAAACCCUGCCAAACAAAGAAAACAAUUACUUGAUAUCAGGAAAUGAACAAAGUUGCUGAUAUGGUGGAUAAUGAUCGAUUUAACUUACUUCUCGAGCAUUUGAGUCAUGUUCGCAUAGUCCUGGGGAUCUUUUCGUCUCGAGUCUAAGACGGUUACUACUCCCGGCUCAAGCUUAAUAUCUAGGAGAAUAUAGUGGAAGCUGCGCAUGCAUGCAUAAUUCAUCAAUUACAUUACCAUAACCUGGACUAAUAUGGGAAACCGAAUAUGCACAAGACAGUAACAAUCACUUGAAGUUGUAAGGAAAAAGUAUUAUAUCUUUGUUUUGAUUUAAUACCAACGAUUGUAGCAAGUUGGCCUCGGCUUCUUUGGGAUGUUUUUCAACCGUAUAUGCAUCUAUGAGAUUUGUGUUAAUGAACCCAAUAUCACCGAUUUGUCUUUUCUUCAAUUCGGCGAUCUUCAAUCUGCAUAAUAUAGUGAGGAUAAGUAUAAAUACAUGCAAUGAAAGAGCUGACCAAUAUAGAGAGACUUAAUGACAGAAGUAGUACUACUUACAGACAGUAGCAAGUGAUUGUUGUUUUAUCGAGGGCCUUUUGAUUGUAAAACUGGAAGAAAUCCUCAAAUGGAACAUUCAGCAGUUCAAUUCCAACGAGGUCAUGCUGCGGUUUAACUCUCAGCGUCAAAGUACUCGUCCCAUCAGACUCUCUGCAGGUUUUCAUGUACCAAUCAUGUAAUCUUCGCAUCAUUGUGCUUAGAGAUCUGACAUCUUUGACGAGAGGCUUCCCGUAAUGGUAUUUGUGUUCGUCCACCUCCAUGAUUUCAUAAUGUACAUCGUCGGGCAGGUAAUCUCCAAGAUUGCUAUAACCGGGCACCAUACUCGGAUCAUUAGCGACGAUAUCUUUUGACACCUUGAGCGGGGGGCACGAUUGGUUAGCUUGUUUGCCGAGCUGGGCAAUUUUUUUCCCAGCUCGUCGUUCUUUCAUCCUUUUAUCACUGACAGUACUUCCCGACCGCUCCGCUUCGGCAUAUGUCUUUGCAAGAACGCGCUCAUAGUUGCCUCUCGGCGGAGACUUUGGUGGUUUUGUCAGGGCAGCCAGAGUGCACUUUGCUUUCACCGGAUCUAUCUUCUCCUCCGGAGGUGAAUGUUUCUUUGCUUUCACCCCUUCAAAGAAGUUCGUCACUUCGGCUCGCACGAUCUUCGCGUUCUCCUCCUCGGUCCUCUCAUAUGGUAACUUCUCUGGAGUCUUCAGAGAAGGACCGAAUCUGUAUUGCCUCCCGCCUCUGGCAGCUGUACUGCUAGACGCCGGCAGAGCAGACGGAGCGGCUGCGGCUGUCUUCUUUCCUUGCUUACGAGGCGGAGGAGAAGGACUACGACGCGCCGGAGCAACCGCAGCGGCGGCGGGUCUCUUCUGCCCUUGCUGACGAGGCGGAGAAGGAGGAGGCUGGCUGCUCUGGCGCACCGGCGCUGGCGGAGAAGAAGGCGGAGUGCCGCCACGCGCCGGAGAAGGAGGCUGAGUGCCCUGAUCACUCGCCGGAGGAGGAGGCGGAGGAGGAGGCGGAGUGCCCUUACUCGCCGGAGCCGUCCAGUUCGGAAGCUUGAUGAGCUCCUUCCGCCAUAGGCAUGAAGUCUUCAGAGCUAAACCCAGCCGAGUCUCCCCUUCACCGGUAGGGUGGUCAAGCUGGAGGUCCUCAAAUCCCUCCGUUAUUUCAUCCACCAUCACCUAGCAUAUCCUUCUGGAAUCGGCCGGCAGUGGUAGGUUGCGCCGGGUUCAGUAGGUAAAACAGAGCCAACAGCCGCCUUGACUUUCAAGUUCUGCCAUUCCGCCAUAAGGUGGCAAUGUUGAGACUCCGUGAUAGCAUCCACGGGGUAGCUAGCAGGAGCCGCAUGCUCCAGCUGAGGCAGCUCGGUGGAAGCCACGCUGCUUCUUCGCUGAGAUGGCGGUGUAGCUUCGGCGGCAGUUUCGGCAUCACGAUUGCCGUCUCGUUCCUCUAGCGCUUGAACCCUUUCGUGCAGCUUCUGAAUUUGGAUCUGCUCCACUUUUUUCCUCCUCUCCUGGGUUUUGUAACCGCCCGCGUCCGGAAAACCAGCCUUCCACGGAACGGAGCCUGGCGUGCCUCGUGUCCGUCCAGCGUGCUCAGGAUUCCCGAGGGCCAUUCUGAGCUCGUCGUUCUCUCUGUCUGGAAUGAACGUCCCUUGCUGCGCUGCAUCGAUAUAGUGCUUAAGCUUCUUGACGGGUAUUGCAAGUUGCUCGUCCGUCCAACGACACCUCCCUGAUACAGGGUCCAAGGUUCUGCCAGCCCCGAAGAACCAAGUCCGGCAACGGUCUGGCCAGUUCAUUGUCUCUGGUUCGAUCCCUUUAUCAAGCAGAUCCCUCUCAGACUUGGCCCACUUAGGCCGGGCUUUGAGGUAGCCACCUGACCCCGUGCGAUGGUGAAGCUUCUUCUUCGCAGCAUUCUUCUUGUUUGUCGCUGACAUCUUCUUACUCUUUUCUGAUGUCUUGUGGGCCACAAAUGUGGGCAGUUGAUCUCUGAUCUUCUCAUACCGGCCGAUGAAUUCUGGUGUCUCUUCUUUGUCGACAAACGUUUUCAGCUCAUUCUUCCACCUCCUGAAUAGGUCUGCCAUCUUCUUAAGAGCAUGAGACUUGAUUAAGUGCUCUAUAACUGGCUUCUCCGGAUCCUCCUCUGGCGGUAGGGUGAAAUUUUCCUUCACCUCAGUCCAAAGAUCAUCUUUCUGCAUAUCAUUGACAUAAGACACCUCAGGGUCUUCCUUCUUAGGCUUAUACCAUUGGUGGAUGCUGAUCGGGAUCUUGUCCCUAACUAGAACCCCGCACUGAGCAGCAAAAGCAUCCUUUGUCCGGAGGGGUUCAAUCGGUUGGCCGUCGCGCGCGAUUGCUGUGAUCUCAAACCUUUCAUCCGAGCGCAACUUUCUCUUCGGGCCUUGUCUCUUUACCGCAAUUGUGCUCGAUCCGGUGGGCUAGAAAAAAGAAGAAAGAUGAGUGUUAAUUAAUAUGUGUACAUACCAAAACAAUGAAUGCAUCAAUUAGCUAGUCAGCACAGGCUUAACUAAUAUAUUUACCUGGCCGGACUCUGUUCGGUCACCGGAGCCGUCACCACGGGCUCCUUCUUGCACCAGCAUUGGGUCACCGGAGCCAUCAUAAUCAUGUCUUUCCUCCUCCACUCUUCGAUCACCGUAGCCUGCUUCUUCACCCUGUUCUUCCAUACCAUCAUUGUCGUUAAGAUACGACAAGAUAUCACCUCCGGCUAAGAUUAUGUCCCCCAACACCUCUUCUGCUUGCUCAUCUCGUUUGUGCUCCAUUGUUUCUGCAAAUAUUACAACAUGGCAAUUAUUACACAAACAUGACAGCAGGUGGAUAUAUUAGUGCAAACGUAGACCUAGCUUAUUCCGAGUUUGGGGUGGCCUAGGCAACGCUUCAAGGGUAGGGGCGCGGCGGGAGGGGGUAGGAGACCGACAUCGUUUUUUUUAGGGUUUGGGUGUCCUCGAGAGUUUUGGUCGAGCGAGAGGGCCGGGGGGUGCUCCCGUGGUAUAAGUUAUCACGGUCGAGAGGGGGUAUACAUAUCGACCGUCCAUCAUGUCAAAGUUAUCUGGGAGGGAGUNNNNNNNNNNUAUUCGCUUCCUUAUCUUUUCUUUUCCUCGGUCUGGUAGACAUGUCCUUCACAUAGAUAACCUGUGCCACAUCAUUGGCUAGGACGAACGGUUCGUCAGUGUACCCAAGAUUGUUCAGAUCCACUGUUGUCAUUCCGUACUGUGGGUCUACCUGUACCCCGCCUCCUGACAGAUUGACCCAUUUGCACUUAAACAAAGGGACCUUAAAAUCAUGUCCGUAGUCAAGUUCCCAUAUGUCCAUUAUGUAACCAUAAUAUGUGUCCUUUCCCCUCUCGGUUGCUGCAUCAAAGCGGACACCGCUGUUUUGGUUGGUGCUCUUUUGAUCUUGGGCGAUCGUGUAAAAUGUAUUCCCAUUUAUCUCGUAUCCUUUGUAAGUCAAUACAGUCGAAGAUGGUCUCCUGGACAACGAGUACAACUCACACAAACAGUGGUGUCACCUCUGAGACGUGUUUCCAACCAACUGUUGAAAGUCCUGAUGUGUUCACAUGUAAUCCAGUCGUCACACUGCUCCAGGUGUUUGGAGCGCAGACUGUUCUUGUGUUCAUCGACAUACGGGGUCACCAAGGUAGAGUUCUGUAGAACUGUGUAGUAUGCUUGAGACCAAGAAUGCCCGUCCCUGCAUAUUAUUGAGUCUGCUCCUAGCGUGCCUUUUCCAGUCAGUCUCCCCUCAUACCGCGAUUUAGGGAGACCUAUCUUCUUAAGGCCAGGAAUGAAGUCAACACAAAACCCAAUGACAUCCUCUGUUUGAUGGCCCAUGGAGAUGCUUCCUUCUGGCCUAGCGCGGUUACGGACAUAUUUCUUUAGGACUCCCAUGAACCUCUCAAAGGGGAACAUAUUGUGUAGAAAUACGGGCCCCAGAAUGACAAUCUCGUCGACUAGAUGAACUAGGACGUGCGUCAUGAUAUUGAAGAAGGAUGGUGGGAACACCAGCUCGAAACUGACAAGACAUUGCGCCACAUCACUCCUUAGCCUUCGUAUGAUUUCUGGAUCGAUCACCUUCUGAGAGAUUGCAUUGAGGAAUGCACAUAGCUUCACAAUGGCUAAUCGAACGUUUUCCGGUAGAAGCCCCCUCAAUGCAACCGGAAGCAGUUGCGUCAUAAUCACGUGGCAGUCAUGAGACUUUAGGUUCCGGAACUUUUUCUCUGGCAUAUUUAUUAUUCCCUUUAUAUUCGACGAGAAGCCAGUCGGGACCUUCAUACUGAGCAGGCAUUCAAAGAAGAUUUCUUUCUCUUCUUUCGUAAGAGCGUAGCUGGCAGGACCUUCAUACUGCUUCGGAGGCAUGCCGUCUUUUUCGUGCAAACGUUGCAGGUCCUCCCGUGCCUCAGGUGUAUCUUUUGUCUUCCCAUACACGCCCAAGAAGCCUAGCAGGUUCACGCAAAGGUUCUUCGUCACGUGCAUCACGUCGAUUGAAGAGCGGACCUCUAGCUCUUUCCAGUAGGGUAGGUCCCAAAAUAUAGAUUUCUUCUUCCACAUGGGUGCGUGUCCCUCAGCGUCAUUCGGAACAGCUAGUCCGCCAGGGCCCUUUCCAAAGAUUACGUGUAAAUCAUUGACCAUAGCAAGUACGUGAUCACCGGUACGCAUGGCGGGCUUCUUCCGGUGAUCUGCCUCGCCUUUGAAAUGCUUGCCUUUCUUUUGACAUUGAUGGUUGGUCGGAAGAAAUCGACGAUGGCCCAGGUACACAUUCUUCCUGCUUUUGUCCAGGUAUAUACUUUCAGUGUCAUCUAAACAGUGCGUGCAUGCGUGGUAUCCCUUGUUUGUCUGUCCUGAAAGGUUACAAAGAGCGGGCCAAUAGUUGAUGGUUACAAACAGCAAUGCGUGCAGGUUAAAUUCCUCCUGUUUGUGCUCAUCCCGCGUACGUACACCGUUUCCAUUCCACGGCUGUAAAAGUUCUUCAACUAAUGGCCUUAGGUACACAUCAAUGUCGUUGCCGGGUUGCUUAGGGCCUUGGAUGAGAACUAGCAUCAUAAUGAACUUCCGCUUCAUGCACAUCCAAGGAGGAAGGUUAUACAUACAUAGAGUCAUGGGCCAGGUGCUGUGAUUGCUGCUCUGCUCCCCGAAAGGAUUAAUGCCAUCCGCGCUUAAACCAAACCAUACGUUCCUUGGGUCAGCUGCAAACUCAGCCCAGUACUUUCUCUCGAUUUUUCUCCACUGCGACCCGUCAGCGGGUGCUCCCAACUUCCCGUCUUUCUUACGGUCCUCACUGUGCCAUCGCAUCAACUUGGCAUGCUCUUCGUUUCUGAGAAGACGUUUCAACCGUGGUAUUAUAGGAGCAUACCACAUCACCUUCGCAGGAACCCUCUUCCUGGGGGGCUCGCCGUCAACAUCACCAGGGUCAUCUCGUCUGAUCUUAUACCGCAAUGCACCGCAUACCGGGCUUGCGUUCAGAUCCUUGUACGCACCGUGGUAGAGGAUGCAAUCAUUAGGGCAUGCAUGUAUCUUCUGCACCUCCAAUCCUAGAGGGCAUACGACCUUCUUUGCUGCGUAUGUACUGUCGGGCAAUUCGUUAUCCUUUGGAAGCUUCUUCUUCAAUAUUUUCAAUAGCUUCUCAAAUCCUUUGUCAGGCACAGCAUUCUCUGCCUUUCACUGCAGCAAUUCCAGUACGGUACCGAGCUUUGUGUUGCCAUCUUCGCAAUUGGGGUACAACCCUUUUUUGUGAUCCUCUGACAUGCGAUCGAACUUCAGCUUCUCCUUUUGACAUUCGCAUUGCGUCCUUGCAUCGACUAUGACCCGGCGGAGAUCAUCAUCAUUGGGCACUGGUUCCUCUUGAUCUUCAGCAGCUUCCCCCCUUGCAGCAUCAUUGGGCACAUCGUCUGAUUCCUCUUGAUCUUCAGCAGCUUCCCCCGUUGCAGCAUCACCGUAUUCAGGGGGCACAUAGUUGUCAUCGUCCUCUUCUUCUUCGCCGUCUUCCAUCAUAACCCCUAUUUCUCCGUGCCUCGUCCAAACAUUAUAGUCUGGCAUGAAAUCCUUGUAAAGCAGGUGGAUGUGAAGGAUUUUCCGGUCAGACUAAGACUUCGUAUUCCCACAUAUAGGGCAUGGACAACACAUAAAACCAUUUUGCUUGUUUUCCUCAGCCACUUCGAGAAAAUCAUGCACGCCCUUAAUGUACUCGGAGGUGUGUCUGUCACCGUACAUCCAUUGCCGGUUCAUCUGCUUGCAUUAUAUAUAAUUAAGUGUGUCAAAAACCAUUAUAGAACAUCAUGAAUAGAUAAUUAAGUGACCAAAUUAAUAGAAGUUCAUCAUCACAUUAGAACCAAAGUACAUACAUAGUUCUCAUCUAACAACAUAUAUAUAUAGCUCUCCAGAGCAUCUAAUUAAUUAAACCAUACAUUGAAACUAUGUAAAACAUUUCAAUGUGAAAACAAAUGCGAUCAUAAUCGCAACCAAGGUAACAAUUGAUCCAACGGCAUAAUGAUACCAAGCCUCGGUAUGAAUGGCAUAUUUUCUAAUCUUUCUAAUCUUCAAGCGCAUUGCAUCCAUCUUGAUCUUGUGAUCAUCGACGACAUCUGCAACAUGCAACUCCAAUAUCAUCUUCUCCUCCUCAAUUUUUUUAAUUUUUUCCUUCAAGUAAUUGCUUUCUUCUUCAACUAAAUUUAACCUCUCGACAAUAGGGUCGGUUAGAAUUUCCGGUUCAACCACCUCCUAGAUAAAUAAAAUCUAUGUCACGUUGGUCGGUAUAUUUGUCAUAAACAAUAAAUGAAUCAAAUAGUUAUAAAAAGAUAAUAUAUACCACAUCCGAAUCAUAGACAGGACGAGGGCCGACGGGGGCGGAUACCAAAACCACGCACUAUGUAAUAAAAAGGAAUAAUAAAAGUAACAAAAUUAGACAAGUAAGUAUCUAAAGUAAGAUUUUUUUCCUUUCAGAAAGAAGAUAAGAACAAGAGGCUCACCACGGUGGUGCUGGCAACGAGAUUGGCGCGGGCGAUCGACGGCGGUGAAGACGGGGACGGGACGUGACGGACCGCUAAACCUAGACAAAUCUCGGGGAAAAUGGAGCUCGGAGGUCGAGUUUCGAGAGGACAAAGAUUAACUAGUGUGGCUCAGACAUUUCAUCGAACACCUCAUGUGCAUAGGAGGUGAGCUAGAGCACCCAAAUGUCCUCCCCUCGCUGGCCAGAAAAAACAGAGCACUCUGGAGUGCUCUGCUGUGGCGAUGGGGUAUAUAUAGGGAACUCAUUGGUCCCGGUUGGUGGCACCAGCCGGGACUAAAGGCCUUUGGUCCCGGUUGGUGCCACGAAUCGGGACCAUUGCCCCCUUUAGUCCCGGUUGGUGGCACCAACCGGGACCAAAGGCCUUGUGCUGGAACUGGCGCGGUGCGGUGGGAUGUUUAGUCCCACCUCGCUAGCCGAGAGGCUUCGACAGUGGUUUAUAAGCGCAGCUGCGCUGACCACUUCGUGCUCCUCUCAAAUGCAGGCUUACGGGCCUAUUCUGUCACUAUUUGCCUGUGGGCCUAUUGGGCCUUCUGCGGGCCUGAAUCCUGGCCCAUGGAUGGGUUUCUAGUCGUAUUCAGGUCGUGGUGGCCUAGUAGGUGGCAUAAUUUUUUUCCUCUGUUUUUUUUCUCUUUUGCUUUAUUUGUUUUGUUUUGUUUCUACUUACAACAAAAAACUUAUUUAUUUUAUUUCUAAUUACUUAUGUAUUUUACUUUAAUUAUUUUAUUUCUAAUUACUCAGGUUUGACCAGUCGCCCCCGCCUCCUUCCUCCUCUGGCCGAACAGAGGCGGGGCUCCGGCGAUCAACGCCGGCGAACGGCGGCUCCUCGCGGGGUCCUGAGGGCGGGGAUGGAUCCGCCAGGCCGGGGCGGUCCUCCCGGUGGUCGAGGAGGUGGCAGGGAUGGAGGGAGUCGCCGGCGGCGAGCUCCGCGGCGGACGGCAGCUUCGGGAGGUUUGGGGCUUUGGCCUACGGUGGUUCCCCGACGCAGCUGAGGGUUUGGGCGGCUCUGCACGGUCGAGGGGAGGAGGAUGGUGGUGCUAUACGGACGGGGGGGGCUCUGGUUGCGACUAAAUGGACCGGAGGGCGGCGGCGGCUGUACUGGCCGGAGAUGGGGAAGAAGACCCUCCCUGGUCGAUUGCCUGCUAUGGGGGUGCUAGGUGGGGUGGCUUGAGGUCGCCUGAGGGACUGGACGGACUCGGGGGCUCCUUAUAUAGGCGGCUGGAGUCGGUUCCAACGGUGGCCGUGGAUAAGAACGGCGAACCGCCGUUCUCUAGCCUGCAGGACGUCGUGGCGGCGACGGGCACUAGUGGACGAGCUCGCGGAUAAGCUUGGAUUGCUCCAGAGGCGAGCUGGCGAGCGGCUAUGGCUCGGGCGGUGCCGUCCAUGGCAGGGGCCUGCUGUGGCCGGCCGUCGUGCCCCUGAAGACCUAUUCAUCUUGCCUGAAGGUGAUCCUGUGUCAGAUCUUGCACGAUACCUCAUCACCACAACACGUUGGCGGCGGUGUAUGAGGCGUCCAUGGCCCUGGUGGCGCCUUCAAGGGAGGACGCAUGAUCUUCAAGGGAGGACAGGCCAUCAGAUUCAUCCACUUGGUAGCGUCUUUGUUCAUCCAGGUUUGACGAUUCAUCUUUUCAUUAUCUAGUCUCUCUGGGAUGUCAAACGUACCCUCAACAACUAACGUCAGUAUUUAUUUUGUUCUGUAGUGAACCCCCUCGAUGAAUGCAUGUCUGUUGCCGUGGCUAGAGAAAAUUCUACAUAUCCACAUCCUGAUAACUAACAAGAUAAGUAGCAGCUUUGAUAUGGAGGUAUUUUCCUUCACUGCGUGCUUUUUCUUUGUGCCCUUUACUGUACUGUAGUAGCAUUUGCUAAAUUGCAUUGAGAGAAUAGGACGGCACAACAAGCUAGGGCUUCAAGAAAACCAACCAAAUUCCUUUUUUUUGGAUCAACCAACCAAAUUGCUGUAAUAGCACGAUCCGCAAGACCUAGAAGGGAUCUACACAUGACAUCGGUGGCUUCUCCUCCGCCUGCUAUUUGCCGCUUUGACACUGUUGACAGAUCCGAGUUCCACCUGCUAGGCUCGAAUGGUAGAUGUUACGGGCAACUGUAUGUGAAUCCCACUCCAAGGGAUCGCCCUUCUCUAUCCCAGAUAUGGCGGUUAUGGAGUUGAUGGCUCGUGUUUUUUUUUCUCUUUUGCUUUAUUGGUUUUGUUUUGUUUCUACUUACAACAAAAAACUUAUUUAUUUUAUUUCUAAUUACUUAUGUAUUUUACUUUAAUUAUUUUAUUUUUNNNNNNNNNNNNNNNNNNNNNNNNNNNNNNNNNNNNNNNNNNNNNNNNNNNNNNNNNNNNNNNNNNNNNNNNNNNNNNNNNNNNNNNNNNNNNNNNNNNNNNNNNNNNNNNNNNNNNNNNNNNNNNNNNNNNNNNNNNNNNNNNNNNNNNNNNNNNNNNNNNNNNNNNNNNNNNNNNNNNNNNNNNNNNNNNNNNNNNNNNNNNNNNNNNNNNNNNNNNNNNNNNNNNNNNNNNNNNNNNNNNNNNNNNNNNNNNNNNNNNNNNNNNNNNNNNNNNNNNNNNNNNNNNNNNNNNNNNNNNNNNNNNNNNNNNNNNNNNNNNNNNNNNNNNNNNNNNNNNNNNNNNAUAGAUGCGCUUAUAGAGAAAAUUCAACCUAAAUUCAUAAUAAAUUUCUAUGAAAUUUACUAUGAAUUUAGGUCAAAUUUCCUGUAUAAGGGCAUCUAUUUUCACUUUAAGAGAAGCUCAACAAGGCAGAUAGGGACGGCCUUAUAAACUGAUGUGAGCGCCCUUCGGUUGGCGAGGUGGGACUAAACACUGGCCGCAACUAGGACCAGGCCUUUAGUCCCGGUUGUGGUAGGAACCGGGACUAAAGGGUGGUGGGCCAGGAGCGUGGCCCAUUGGUCCCGGUUUGUCCCACCAACCGGGACCAAAAGGUCCGGACGAACCGGGACCAAUGCCCCCACGAGGCCCGGCAGGUCCCUGGCCGCACGAACCGGGACCAAUGCUCACAUUAGUCCCGGUUCGUGACUGAACCGGGGCUAAUGUGAAAACUGUCUUAUGACCUAAGCCCCUUUUCCUACUGGUGCAGGUUGAAACUAUAGAGCAGGGCAAAGACUAAAUUGAACUUCCUUCCAAAAAUGUGUUCAACAGAUUCUUUUUGUUUGAAGGGAUAUAAAAUUCCAUUGCACAAUGUAAGGUGAUGGAUAAUGGAGGGGAAUCGAUCUAUUACAGCUCUCCGAAGUAGUAGAAAUACAUAUCAAUACAGGGUUCAGUUCUUGCGGAAGGGGAAACUACAGGAAGAUAAACUAGGUAGCCGCCGCCGGGUUCUGCCUUGAUCCUCUGGACGGUGUCUUCAGUGGCUGGCUGGUGCUUAAGUAGUCGCAGGCUUGCCUGUCACCCACUCUGGGCCUUGGAUGCGCGAGUUGGGCUUGCGUGUGCGGCUGGGCUGCGUACCCCUGGGCUGGUUGCUGCUUGCAGAUGGGGUCACCUAGUCAGCAACGCUNNNNNNNNNNNNNNNNNNNNNNNNNNNNNNNNNNNNNNNNNNNNNNNNNNNNNNNNNNNNNNNNNNNNNNNNNNNNNNNNNNNNNNNNNNNNNNNNNNNNNNNNNNNNNNNNNNNNNNNNNNNNNNNNNNNNNNNNNNNNNNNNNNNNNNNNNNNNNNNNNNNNNNNNNNNNNNNNNNNNNNNNNNNNNNNNNNNNNNNNNNNNNNNNNNNNNNNNNNNNNNGCUUGCCCCCAAGUCUCAGCCUGCGGAAAGCGGUCUUGAAGGGCCGCCUUGUCUUCCCAGGUUGGUCCGGGCGCCGUGCCAGUCGACCACUCGACGUGUACUUGCUCACACAUGACGCCUUGCUUCCGACGCCAGCGGUUUUGAAGAAUCUUCACCGGAACAGCCAAUUCAUCAGUAUCGAGAGGGAGUUCAGUAUUGACAAGCGUACCGGGGAGGAGGGCUUUGCGCAGUUGCGACACAUGGAAAACCGGAUGCACUGUUGCCUGUGGUGGGAGCUGAAUCUUGUAGGCCACCUCGUUGAUGCGCUGGAUGACGGGGCAUGGCCCGUAAUAUUUGAAGGAGAGCUUAUGGUUGGCACCAAGAGCAACAGAGGACUGAACAUAAGGUUGCAAUUUGAGAAAGACUUGAUCACCAACUUCAAAGGUACGCUCUGAUCUGCGCUUAUCUGCUCGCAUCUUCAUGCAUUGCCGGGCCCUGUUAAGAUGCUGUUGCAAUAGUCCUUGGAUUACUGCACGUUCUUCAAGCCAAGCUUGUAAAGAUGGUACUGAGCAGGAGGUAGUGGCCGAAAGCCCCCAUUGCCGUGGUUCAUGCCCAAACAUCGCUUUGAAUGGGCUCAUCCCGAUGGCUGAAUGGACUGACGAAUUGUACCAAAACUGAGCCAACGGUGUCCAGAAGCCGCGGGCAAGCGUGCCUGAAACAGCGGAGGAAGGUUUCCACGCCACUGAUUCACCCGUUCCGUUCGGCCAUUAGUUUGAGGAUGGUUUGCGGUGCUCAACCGAAGUUUAGUGCCUGCAUACUUGAACAAUUCCUGCCAAAAAUGGCUAGUGAAGACUGGAUCCCGAUCAGAGACAAUAGCUCGGGGGAGACCAUGGAUUAUGUAGAUCUGAUGCAUGUAGAGUUGGGCCACUUUAGCAGCUGUGUAGGGGUGUGCCAGUGGCAAGAAGUGGGCAAAUUUUGUUCUCUUAUCGACAAUGACCCACAAACAAUUGAAAGCUCCUGAUUGCGGCAGACCAUCAAUGAAAUCCAUGGUGAUAAGUUCCCAUGGUUGGCUCGGCACUGGCAGUGGCAUCAGUAGUCCAGGCGAAGCAGCUCGGUCUGGUUUGGCGCGCUGGCAAGUGGAAUAGCACUGGAUGUAGUGCAGUAUAUGGCUCUUCAUCUUAGGCCAAGCAAACAGGCGUUUGAUGCGCGAAUAUGUUGCCGGAAAUCCUGAAUGGCCACCCAGAGCACUGCCAUGGAAGGCGUGGAUGAUUCGCUGCUGCAAUCCCGUCGAGCCGCCAAGCCAGAUACGGCCCCGGAACCUGAUCACUCCUUGAUGUAGUGAAAAUCUGCCUUUGGUGUCCUCCUUGAUGGCUAUCUGCUCAAGGAGGCGUAGAGCUUGGGGAUUCGUGUUGUAACUUGCUAGCAGAUCCUCGAGCCAUGCUGGUUGACAAGAUGUAAUGGUUGUUAGAGUUUCAGAAGUUUUGGCUCGCGAUAGUGCAUCAGCCGCAUGGUUGUUUGAUCCUUUCCUGUAGCGAAUCUGAUAACGCAAACCCAGCAGCUUAGUAAAGGCUUUUUGCUGCCAUGACAAAUUCAGCAUGCUGUAGGUAAGGGCGCCAUUGUUCAACUGCCACAAGAAUAGCCAAGUACUCUUUUUCGUAAGCCGACAGCCCCUGAUAGCGUGGCGAGAGGGCUUUGUUGAUGAAUGCGAUCGGAUGACCCUGCUGCUGCAGAACGGCCCUGAUCCCUGUGUCGCUGGCGUCAGUCUCAACCGUAAACUGUUGCUUGAAAUUGGGAAGAGCGAGGACAGGCGCAGAGGUGAGACUUUGUUGCAAGAGUCUGAAAGCUAUUUCAGUUGCAGGUGUCCACACAAAGGGAACCCCCUUCUUAAGCAGAUUGAAGAGGGGGCGGGCGAUGACUCCAAAGUUUUUGACAAAUCUGCGAUAAUAACCCACGAGGCCCAGGAAACUGCGAACCGCCUUCACAUCUGUUGGCACAGACCAGUUGGACACAGCUCGUAUCUUCUCCGGAUCUGUUGCAACCCCUGAAGCACUGAUCACAUGACCCAGAUAGGCGAUCUGCUGCUGACCAAAAGCACACUUCGAGAGUUUCACCUUCCAACUGUCACGGCGGAGCAGCAUGAGCACCUCCCUUAGCUUCUGGACAUGUUCUUUCAAUGUCCGGCUGUGCACAAGAAUGUCAUCGAGAAAAACAAGCACGCCGUCGCGAAGAACAGGUUUUAGGGUGCCGUGCAUCGCCCCAUUGAAAGUACCUGGACCUCCGGCCAAUCCAAAAGAAACAACUCUGAACUCAUAGUGGCCCGAAUGGGUUUGAAACGCAGUUUUGUACUCUUCUCCUUCUGCGAGUCGAAUUUGAUGAUAACCGGCUCGGAGGUCUAGCUUGGUGAACCAGCAUGACCCAAACAGCUCAUCCAAUAAUUCCUCGAUCACCGGCACUGGGUACUUGGCGACAUUAGUGAGUGCAUUGAGAUGUCGAUAAUCGACGCAUAGAUGCCACGUCCCAUCUUUCUUCUUCACAAGAAUCACUGGCGAUGAAAAAGCGCUAGUACUGGGUUGGAUGAUGCUAGUUCUGAGCAGUUCUGCAAUCUGUGCUUCUAUCUCAUCUUUGUGAUCUGGCUUAUGGCGAUAGGGCCGAAUACUGAUUGGCUAUGCUCCGGGAAUCAAGGGUAUCCGAUGAUCACAUGCACGACGGGGCGGCAGACCCUGUGGUUCUCCAAACACAUCUGAAAAUUCUUCCACUAACUGCUGAAUGAGUGGUGGGACUGGUUGCUGCUGCUCUUGGACUGGUGAAACUGAAUACACCUGAACUAUGUGUGACACUGCACCCUGCUUGCAAAGAGCCUGAAGCUGAAUGCUGUUGAUAGUAUAGCAAGUUGAGGAUGUUGCUUCGUGGCCCUGGAGGACAACUGCUCCUUUUGCUGACUGAAACUGCAAAUGCUUCGCUCGCCAAUCUACUGUCAUAGGACUGGGCUUCUAACCAAUCCAUCCUAAGAAUCGCAUCAUACAUGCCCAGUGCCAAUAUCUUCAUGUCGGUCGCAAAUUCUUUGCCCUGUGUGUACCAAGCACAUUGAUGUACCAUAGAAGAGCAGAUAAGUUCACCACCGUCGGCCACUUUAACUUUGCAUGCUUUUGGUAAGGGCUGGACUCCCUCCAACCGCACAGCGAGCUCCUGGUUGAUGAAUGAGGUUGAGCUACCGGAAUCCACAAGCAUGAGGACCUCAUGGCCCUGGAUCCAUGCUCGCAACUGGAAAGCCUUGCCCGAAACCCCGCCUGAUAGCGCGGAGCGGGAAAUGGCACAGACUGUCUCUUGAGUGUCUUGUGGCUGUGCAGGAUCGUCGCCGUCGACCAUCGCGUUGAUGCCGAAUAAUUCCCACAGCUCCUCGACGACGUGAAGUUGCACGGAUGUGGGGCAGACGUGAUCGUGGCCCCAACGCUCGCCACACUUGAAGCAGAGGCCCCGGGCGCGCCUGUAGUCGCGCAGGGCCUUGACCUUGGCAGUGUCCGCACGCGUGUCCCCUGGACGUGCACCGUCAGCAUGCGCUCCCUCGACGCCACGGCGAUUGGUCGCGAUCGCCGGCGGCGUAGGUCUUGUUGGUGGCGGGGGAAGUGGCAGGGGAGCCCCUCCGCGUGGUUGUGCGUCCGGAGGGCGCGAUGUCGAUGGUGAGCGCGCGUCGCCAAAUGCGCCGUGGACCACUUCUUCUUGCAGGAGGGCAAGGGAGCAUGCUGUAUCCAGAUCCGGUGGUCGCUGCACUAGCACCACCGCCUGGAUGUCCGCCCGUAGCCCCUCCACAAAACGAGUCAAAAAGAAGUAAGGAUGGAUAUUGUGAGAAUAGGAUGACAGAUGGUUAAUGAUAACUUCAAAACGCUCGGUGUAAUCAGCGACAGUGGUGAGCUGCCGCACGGUGUAAAAUUGACGGAUCAAAAGCUGGUGUCGAUCACGACCGAAACCGGUGCACAACAGCGAAGAGAAGGACUCCCAAUCUAGAUCAGAUAGUUUUUUUCUGAACAGACUGAAGCCAGAUCGAGGCUGGUCCCGAAAAAUUCAGGGAAGCCAUCCGUACCCAAAAGGACUCAAGAAUGCCAAACAUCUUGAAGUAUUGCUCACACACAGUUUUCCAGAGGCGUGGGUUUUCACCCUUGAAUUGGGGAAAACUGAUGGAAGGGUGCGCCUGGCCUAGGCCAGCCAGGAGCUGAAUGGCGUGUCUGAGCGGUGAAGGUAAGGGAAGUGGUGAAGCGAGGGUGUACUGACCCGUUGCCGGGAGCGGCGGCGGCGUCGCAAAGGACGCCGUCGGCAACCCCCGGGGAAGGUGAGCGACGCCGUGGUCCAUAGACCCUUGAGUUGAUGCUGCCGCGCCCUCCACAACGCCGGGAUUGGCGCUGCGGGUCGCUGGCGUCGAGUUGAUUCCCUCGGGCGUCGCCGGAGGAGGCACCGCUCGAGUUGCAGCGCAGCGACGGCCUCGCUGAGAUCCGCCACUCGGCGCUCCAGAUCGGGGCGCCAGCUGAUGAUGUCAUCGAUCUUGGCUGUGGAGGCUUGAAUUGACGCGAUCGCCAUGGUGUCGGCCACCAGGGUGGAGUCGAGCCGGUCGAGGAAGGCCUGGAUGGACGGAUCCAUGGCAGCCAUGUGAGAUCGCGCCUGACGCAGCCGGCGUGUCUCGAUGAGCUGCGCCAGAUCGUUGCAGGGAAGAGGAGUGGGAUGGUCUCUGAUACCAAGUGUAAGGUGAUGGAUAAUGGAGGGAAAUCGAUCUAUUAUAGCUCUCCGAAGUAGUAGAAAUACAGAUCAAUACAGGGUUCAGUUCUUGCGGAAGGGGAAACUACAGGAAGAUAAACUAGGUAGCCGCCGCCGGGUUCUGCCUUGAUCCUCUGGAUGGUGUCUUCAGUGGCUGGCUGGUGCUUAAGUAGUCGCAGGCUUGCCUGUCACCCACUCUGGGCCUUGGAUGUGUUACAAUUAAUUAACCAUGUGUUAAUUAUGGGAUUAAUCCCUGCUUGUACUAACCGCAGGCCGUUGUAAAACUGCCGCGUCGGUUCCCGCCGAACAGGCACCUGCUCUGAACAGACACCUUUUCCAGUGGUGUCCUUUCCCUUGUAUAAAUAGCAGAUGGCAUCUAAUAAAGAUGAGACUUGAUUCAUUCAAAACACGUUAUCAACACGCUCUGGCGAGAGCAGAAGGCCACGAGAGAUUAGGCCAUCCCGGCGGUUACGGAUGUCGCCGAUGGCUUACAGGCGAUGCAACCGGAAGCGGAAGCAGGAACCGGAAUCGUUCCAUUGAGCGCUCGCGGCGAGACAUCUUCCGGUGACGAGGCGAUGGAGCCCAGGUGUCAGCGCUCGACCGCAGCGUCCUCCAGCGCAUGGUUUGGUCUCACCCUCUCCUUCCCCUUCUCCCAGACGCCGUCCACAGUGGCCGCAUAAGCGGCCCUCUCCGGCACGGCCGACCGCGGCGCAUCUGCGACCCCGGCCUGCUACGCAAGCGCCUCCCGACCGGAGACUCGGUGCCUAUAGCGGGGAACAACCCGGCCUCGACCUCCCGGCGCGCGGAGCCCACAGCGGAUCCUCGACAGCGGCGCACCCGCAUCUUCUACGUCCUGGCGACGACGAAGACGGGCGAUGGAGGCGAGGCAGCCAGCGCCCGACGCGGCUCCCGGCAUCCGCGUGGAGUUCCUGCAGCCACGGUCCUGCCCGUGGCGAAGAUGGAGCGGGCUCUCCCUUCAGCUGACUGUGUGCAGCCCGCCCCCGACGGUCGGCCAGGCCCGAACCUAGCACAGGCCUCCUCCGGCGCGGCAAGGCCCAGCGCGCGAACGGUGUCGUUUCCACCGCCAGACUACGGCGGUGGCGACCCUCGACCUGCGCUCCUUCCUCCGGCCGGCUGGUGCGCGGCUACGCGGAGCGGGACGUCGAGUACGGCCUCGGCCCGGUCCUCCUCGCGUAGCCAUGGCCCUCGGCCUACGUUGACGCGGACCUCCACGGCACGCGGCGCGGUGCCCGUGGCGUCGUUCAGCGUACGCCGACGAACUCCGGCGCGAGGCAACUCAGCACCGCGCGCGAGGCGAAGGCAUCCAUGGCUGGAUCUCCCGGAAGCGGCGGCGAUGGCUCCUGUGUAAAGCUAACCGAAUCGAUUGAUUCGUGUACUAAUUACAGGCCACACACAGGACAACGAUGGGAACCUUAUCUCUUUGAAGGUUUUUCAUUGUAGCCCUCUGGUUAUGCACUAACCCCGCACAAGUGGCUAUGUAUUUGCAUUGACCAUCAAAUCAGGCCACAGGCUGUGCAUUGGAAACCGUCAGAUAUCUCCAUAUCACAUUUACAAUAUAUGUAAAUGAUGAUUUCAGAUAUACUCUGUGAAAAUGGGACAUGUUCAUCGUAUUUGCUCUCUAGCAAUUCCUAUAAGAUGUUCUGCAUUGCGAUCGAGAUUAAGUUUUCUCGCACAACAAUAUUGAUUUGCGAUUGACAGUUUUUUUUCUCGCAAAAUAAUUGCGGUUGAGAUCAAUUUUCUCUCGCAAAAUAUUAAUUCACUUCGCUGAAUUAUCUUGCAAUUUGAUACAAGAUCUCAUUUAAUUUGAGAUCUAUACAAUUCAAGUUUUUCACUUGAGGAUCAAGUUUGCAACACCAUUAUUAUUCAUUACAUUAGUAAUGUACAUCUGUAGAGUACCUUGUAUUCCAGAAUAAACUAUAGUGUUAUAUAUCUCCAUGUUAUUCUACAUGUUGAGAUUAAUUACAUCUACUAUUUGCAAUUGAGAUUUUUAAUUUCUUGCAAAUAAAAAAUCAAUUCAUCUUAGUUGAGUCUUUUGACUUAAUACGAGGAAGAAUUGAUAUGCAAAAUUGAGAUCACAAGGUAGUGUGUAGAUCUACUGCUUUGCAGAUUAUCACCACUAUUGUUAAAGCUUACAUUUUGUCGUUUCGACAUUAUGAUUGCUUUACAAAGUGCUCUCCCACACAUUUUACUAAGUCAUGACAUAAGGCAUUAGGAAUGAGUACCUACUGAUUUCAUCAGAUUAUACUCCCUAGUGCUGCGAGAUCUACUCCCUUUUGGAGAUUAUCUUCAAGAUGUCAUACUUAGCAAUUUGAAGUUCGCACUGAUGGUUUCAAGAUAACUUCUUGAAAUACCCAUCAAUUUUGCAAAAUUCAUUACAACACUAACCAUGAUGGUCUUUAAUUUACUACUCGUAAAUUAAUUAUCUCUGGUUUGCCCCUUUAAGUAAUCGAUGGCUAAGUAAUUUGAGGCUCUUGCCCUUAAUGGCCAGAACUUGCUUAAGCGGGUCAUGGACAUCAAGAUCAGUCUUGCCUCUCAUGGGAUAGCGCGUGUAAUCCAAGCCACGCCACCGGGACACAAAUUACCUCAAGGGUAAAGGUUUGAAGCUCACUUCAAACCUUCAACCUGACACCAUCAUGAAAGUCAGUUGUUUGCAUGAUGUUCUUCUAGAACUGAGCAAUAAAAUGACUAUCCAGCUGUCACGGGACCCUAUGAGCACGGAGAACAUGAAGGUUGGAUAUGCAUCAACUGACAUGUUUGGAGACUAUAUUUAGUCCCUCAAUCUCCUUAGUGAUCUAUUAAUUUAUGUCCAUUUCUGAUGUUCUAAUACGAACAUGAUUAUUGUUGUCAUCAUAUAUUGUGUAUCACAAUAUAUUGUAUCAGCACUUUAGUACAACACAUUUGUAUGUAUUCUAUAUAUCUGAGUGAUUUUCAUAUUGAGAAUCUUCAAAUCUAUAUAUAGACUUCUACGGGGGUCAAUCUGAUGAAAGAUCAUAUGUGCCUUGUGGACAUAUGCACCACGAACUCCAUACUCAGGGGAGUGAAAUAUUUCCACUCUCGUUGAGAGAAAGGGGAUAUUUUAAAAUCGCUAGACGUGAUGAAGUAUUUGUUGGCUCAACCCGAGUCAUAUUUACUAUCCCUGUGGGUACUCGAGUAACGUCGGGAUGCUUUAUUGCUUCUCAGGUUCAAUUCGUACCCUACUAAACUAUGGAGGUAUCCGUCAAAAUAGUUUCCAUAGCGAAACUUAUGAUGACAACAAAGAGAAAUAACUUCUCUUUACUAUAUGCAACGGAUAUGGCAAGCACAUUCCCUGUGUAUCAUCUGGAUUGUACUACACAUACGACACAACCCGUAGCACAUGUUGCGUACGAGGUAGUUUUUCAGAGUGUCUUGUACAUGACAAACUUGGCAUACUCGCCUUGGUCAUCGAGACAUUAGGUUGAAACCGAAACUAUCAGCAAUUCCAUCGGUUUAUGAUUAUUAUGAUGCUAAAUUCUAACAAUAUUUGGAUUUUGUGUGCACUACAUAUGACACAGGGAAGCUAAUUUUAAGGAUUGCGCACCUUAAAGUUUACGCUGAACCACUCAGACUCCUUGAAUGCAUCAAGUCGAGGUAAGUGGUUUUUCCCAACCAUUGACUAGACUAUUCAGGUAUCCAUGGUUUUCCAAAGACACAUCUACAUGAUGGUCUCAAGUGUGCUUUAUUCACAUGAAAGCAUUGGCUCAUUAUCCUGACAUCGGUUUCAAGCAAAUCGAAUGGAUAGCAUUGCAGAAUUCUCCUUGAGUGCCUUUUUCUAUGGCCCUCAGAUUGAAGUUUAGCAAUUUGUCCUAAUGUCUAGACUCAAAAUGGUUUGGUAGAAUCCCAUCCAAAGAAUUGAGCUCAUUUCAUGAUCUUUACUUUGAAAUUGCAACUUACCAACUUUAUGUUGGAGUCAUGGAGUUUUACACGCUCAUGACCAAACUGCAUAAUUUUAUUCCCCUCUGUCUUUGAUACGUGGAAAUCUACCAAGUAUUUCCUUUCUGCGGUAAUUCGGUUACACACCGAUAUCAUCACCCCGACAUACAUCAUUGGCCCCUCAACAUAUAGUUGGGAUCUAUGUGAGGAAUAACUGUAUUACCGUCAAUACUUCAAGCCCCUCACAUGGGGAGUUAUUCAAGGCCAGUAUGUUGAUUCAAUGAGGAAUAUUUUCAGACAUUAGGGGGAGAAUUCAAGUACCAUAAAGAAUGCCAGGAAAUUAGUGGAAUGUUUAACACAUUUCUGCCUCAUAUCCACGUAAUCAAAGAGUUGAACCAUGUGUUCAGAAGAUUUGCAACAUAUUGCAAAUAACCUGCCAGAUUCAUUUAUUGAUUAUAAAGGUGUCACACAAUCCUACAAUCCUGCAAAAGUAUGCCCGAAAGAGUGGAGGUACCAACAAAAUCCACUACACUCCCCAUUCAAAGCAACAGGGGGAGAUGUAUGGCGGAAGUACAUCAGGAUUCAGCUUCUCGCAAGCAAGGAUAUCAAGGCCUGUGAAUCAGUAAAUGCAAGUCAACUUCACGUUGGCAGACACCUAAUGGGUAGUAUACACCCAGUGGACGGGAAACGUCCACCAACCCAGGUCAUAGUGCACACAAUGACGGGGACAUCGGAAUACCCGACUCAAUCGCAUUGGGAAAUCGCGAGCAGUCACCAUGGGUAACGAUAUUUCCAUCAACUAUAUAUUGAUAUAUAGAUUCUGGAGAAUCAUAUAACCGGAAGUCUACAAUUGUCGACAUACAUUUCUCAACUAGAUUGCAAAAACCUUUUAAAUAAUUCAGAUCCAAAGACCAUGGUCAUGGCAAAGUGUGAACAACACUCGAACUGAACUCAAGCAAAGGGUAUAAUCUAGGUAGAAAUGAUCUUGCUCAAUAAUGGGAAGGUAUUCAUAAGCAAUACCUACACCAGUUUUCUUCUGGAAACAGAAUUGAGAACAGCGAGGUGGUGAAACAAAGAGCAAGUAUUGUAGCACAAGGGUUUACGCGGAUACCUAACUAUUUUCCAGAGGUGGAAUCUCAUUCCGAUAACUUAUAUCAUUGGCAGUACAAAAUCAUCUAUCUCUGCAGCUGAUAGAUGUAGUGAUCACAUAUCCAUGUGGCUCACUAGAUUCAGACAUGUAUGAUUGAUUUCCAAUGGAAUCUCAAUUUUGAAUCGAAAUACAAAAUGCAACAUACAUUGUGUAAAAAUCAGUAAGUCAGCAUAUGACUUAUUGUUGUCGGUACAUUUGGUACAACCGACUUAGUGAGUUCCUUUCCACAAGGAUUACUCCUACAAUGAUGGUUAUCCAUGUUUGUCUGUCAUACACAGUGAUUACUCCUGCAAUGACGAUACAUGUAAUCAUCUAAACGACGGAGUUUAAAUGAAGGAUUUGGGUAAAACCAAGAUACCGCUCGUUACUACAACUUGAGCACCUUCACUCAUACAUUUUGGUACACUAUGUUGUCUAUAUCCAAAAUAUAUUGGAGAAAUUCAUUGUGGACAAGUCUUAUACAUCCAAAACUCUCAUGGUGGUUCAUUCUCUAGACAUAGAGAAAGAUCUAUUUAGACCAAGAGAUGAUGGAAAUAAAAUAUUGGGACUCAACGUUCCUUAAUGCCAUUGGAUCCACCAAACACAAUUGGUUGGUACUCAAGAAUAUCUUUCGAUAUCUCCAAGGCAUCAAACAUCUUGUCCUGGUUUUCAGUUUCACAGAAAUGCGAACACCGAUAUAAUUGGAUACAUCGAUCAGAUCCCACUAUAUCAGAUCGUAGACAAGCUUAGUGUUCCUACUAGGUGUGGUAGCCCUCUUAUGAAGAGUCUUCGAGACAGACCUCAUGGAUACAUCCACCAACCAUUAUCUCAAGGAUAAUGUUUCUUGUGUUGCCCGGAUGCAAACAGGUUACAUAAUAAGCAAUAUCGCUAUAUUGCAUAUCUUGCAAGUCAAAUCAUGCGACUGAUUUGUUCACCAGGUCUCUACCAACUUGUAUGUUCUAGAAAUGUGUUCAUGGAAUUGGUAUAUAACGACUUUGGAAUAUGCAAGAAUCAGGGGAGUAUCUUCCUGAAUUGUUCCUGUUGAAAGCAUCAUAUUAUACUCUUUUUCCCUUCAUGAGUUUACUUUAUAGGUUCUCAUAAAGGUUUUUAAUGAGGUAAUAUCAACACAAGACCAUAUGUCAUAUUUUCUGUUUUCCCCACCGGGGUUUUUAAGAAAGUAUAUUAGACAUAUUUAUUGUCCUCUAAACUCUAUGGGUUUUUCUCAUAUUGAGUUACACAGACAAUAAUCAUUAUAUGUUGCGGCAUUUUCUCCUUAUUUUUCCUACUAGGUUUGAAGGAGUUUUGGCAACAUAUCAAACACCUCUAUCCUCAUUUUUCCCACAGGGUUUUUGGAGGAGACUUUAUCAAGAUGACGUCUGCUACAAGAUCAAGCAUUGAUUAGGGGGAGUGUUACAAUUAAUUAACCAUGUGUUAAUUAUGGGAUUAAUCCCUGCUUGUACUAACCGCAGGCCGUUGUAAAACUGCCGCGUCGGUUCCCGCCGAACAGGCACCUCCUUUGAACAGACACCUUUUCCAGUGGUGUCCUUUCCCUUGUAUAAAUAGUAGAUGGCAUCUAAUAAAGAUGAGACUUGAUUCAUUCAAAACAGGAUGCGCGAGUCCAGCCGCGUACCCCUAGGCUGGUCGCUGCUUGCAGAUGGGGUCACCUUGUCAGCAACGCUGACACACAAUAACCAGAGCAUUUUUCGGGUACCUUGGAUGGCGAGUUAUCUCCAUAUAUGCUACUCUUAAUAUUAAUGAAUCCCACAUCAUCAAGCAGUAACUGUUCCACCACAAGGCGCUCAUAACCAACUCCUAGAAUAAAGAUGAGCUACUAUCAAACAGACAAUCCAUCUAUCCAAGAAGGGAUGAAAUCUAGCAAGUGUCCGAGAACAUUUCAGCCAAUUUACUCUCCUGAGUCCUGUCUGACAAUUAGCAUGACGUGACGGCUAUUAUGAGCACGUGAGAUCACUAGUAGAACGAAACCAGUAGCCAGAACGCGGAGAAAGAAGACGCAGCUUGCAGCAACCACGUGAUGAACGCCAGGACGACCGAAAGCGCGAACUGUCGGCAGGCCAGCUUCGAGUAUGUCUCGCAGAAGUGCACAUCCCACAUGAAGAAAAUUGUCAGGCUCGCGGAGGCACAGGCUCCUGAGAACAUGAAAACCGCCACGA